rnacentral:rRNA from 1 species
AUUGAACGCUGGCGGCAGGCCUAACACAUGCAAGUCGAGCGGAUGAAGGGAGCUUGCUCCUGGAUUCAGCGGCGGACGGGUGAGUAAUGCCUAGGAAUCUGCCUGGUAGUGGGGGAUAACGUCCGGAAACGGGCGCUAAUACCGCAUACGUCCUGAGGGAGAAAGUGGGGGAUCUUCGGACCUCACGCUAUCAGAUGAGCCUAGGUCGGAUUAGCCAGUUGGUGGGGUAAAGGCCUACCAAGGCGACGAUCCGUAACUGGUCUGAGAGGAUGAUCAGUCACACUGGAACUGAGACACGGUCCAGACUCCUACGGGAGGCAGCAGUGGGGAAUAUUGGACAAUGGGCGAAAGCCUGAUCCAGCCAUGCCGCGUGUGUGAAGAAGGUCUUCGGAUUGUAAAGCACUUUAAGUUGGGAGGAAGGGCAGUAAGUUAAUACCUUGCUGUUUUGACGUUACCAACAGAAUAAGCACCGGCUAACUUCGUA